UACGUAGGGGGCAAGCGUUGUCCGGAAUUAUUGGGCGUAAAGAGCGUGUAGGCGGUCCGGUAAGUCAGCUGUGAAAGUCAAGGGCUCAACCCUUGAAUGCCGGUUGAUACUGUCGGGCUAGAGUCCGGAAGAGGCGAGUGGAAUUCCCGGUGUAGCGGUGAAAUGCGCAGAUAUCUGGAGGAACACCGGUGGCGAAGGCGGCAUCCUGGACCAACACUGACGCUGAGAAGCGAAAGCCAGGGGAGCAAACAGG
rnacentral:rRNA from 1 species